UAAAAAUUUUUAUAGUUUAUAUAAUUUAUUUUAAAUUUAUUUUACAUAUAAAUUUUAGUAUUUAUAGUUAAUUAUUUAAAUAAUAAUUAAUUUAUUUAGUAGUAAUUAAUAUUAAAAAUUUAAGAAAUUAAGAUUUAGUGAUAUUGAAAUUAAAAACUAAUUUUGUGCCAGCAGUUGCGGUUAAACAAAAUUUAAAAUAAAUUUUAUUGGUAAAUUAAUUAAUAAUUAUUUAUUUAAAAUUAAAUAUUAAAUUAUUAAGUGAAAUUUUAAUUUAAUAAAAAUUUAUUAAAAAAAAUUAUGAAAUUGAUAAAUUAUAUUAAAAACUAGGAUUAGAUACCCUAUUAUUAAUAAAUUAAAAAAAAUAAUACUAAAAUAGUAUUUAAUUAUUUAUUGAAAUUUAAAUAAUUUGGCGGUAUUUUAGUUCAUUCAGAGGAAAUCUGUUUAAUAAUUGAUAAUCCACGAAUAAAUUUACUUAAUUUAUAAUUUUGUAUAUCGUUGUUAAAAAAAUAUUUUUUAUAAAAAAUAAUAUUUUAAAAUUUAAAAUUUAAAAUUAAAUCAAAUCAAGAUGCAGAUAAUAAUUAAGAAUAUAAUGGAUUACAAUAAAAUUAUUUAAAUGGAAAUUAAUUUGAAAUAAUUAAUUAAAGGUGGAUUUAAAUGUAAUUUUAUUUAAUUUAUUAAAAUGAUUAAAAAUUAAAAUAUGUACAUAUUGCCCGUCGCUUUCAUAUAUAAAUUGAAAUAAGUCGUAACAAAGUAGAGGUACUGGAAAGUGUUUCUAGAAAGAU
rnacentral:ncRNA from 1 species